AUUGAACGCUGGCGGCAGGCCUAACACAUGCAAGUCGAGCGGAGCGGCGGACGGGUGAGUAAUGACUAGGAAUCUGCAUGGUAGUGGGGGAUAACGUCCGGAAAAGGGCGCUAAUACCGCAAACUCUCAGAUGAGCCUCGGUCGGCUUAGCUAGUUGGUGGGGUAAAGGCCUCCCAAGGCGAAGAUCCGGAACUGGUCUGAGAGGAUGAGCAGUCACACUGGAACUUAGACACCGUCCAGCAUCCUACGGGAGGCAGCAGUGGGGAAUAUUGGACAAUGGGCGAAAGCCUGAUCCCGCCAUGCCGCGUGUGUGAAGAAGGUCUUCGGAUUGUAAAGCACUUUAAGUUGGGAGGCGUUACCAACAGAAUAAGCACCGGCUAACUUCGUGCCAGCAGCCGCGGUAAUUC
rnacentral:rRNA from 1 species